rnacentral:pre_miRNA from 12 species
UGGGACUGAGUUUGGGAUAUCAUCAUAUACUGUAAGUUUGUUUUAAGACACUACAGUAUAGAUGAUGUACUACACCAAGUCUCAC